AUUGAACGCUGGCGGCAGGCCUAACACAUGCAAGUCGAGCGAGGGGCGGACGGGUGAGUAAUGUAUGGGGAACUGCCCGAUAGAGGGGGAUAACUACUGGAAACGGUGGCUAAUACAGCAUACAAUCGGAUGAACCCAGAUGGGAUUAGCUGGUAGGUGGGGUAAAGGCUCACCUAGGCGACGAUCUCUAGCUGGUCUGAGAGGAUGAUCAGCCACACUGGGACUGAGACACGGCCCAGACUCCUACGGGAGGCAGCAGUAGGGAAUCUUCGGCAAUGUGCGCAAGUCUGACCGAGCAACGCCGCGUGUGUGAUGAAGGUUUUCGGAUCGUAAAGCACUUUCAGGGAAGAACCGUUAUCUAACCAGGAAGCCCCGGCUAACUACGUGCCAGCAGCCGCGGUAAUAC
rnacentral:rRNA from 1 species